UACGUAGGGGGCUAGCGUUGUCCGGAAUCAUUGGGCGUAAAGCGCGUGUAGGCGGUCCGGUAAGUCCGCUGUGAAAGUCGGGGGCUCAACCCUCGGAUGCCGGUGGAUACUGUCGGGCUUGAGUACGGAAGAGGCGAGUGGAAUUCCUGGUGUAGCGGUGAAAUGCGCAGAUAUCAGGAGGAACACCAAUUGCGAAGGCAGCUCGCUGGGACGUUACUGACGCUGAGACGCGAAAGCGUGGGGAGCAAACAGGG
rnacentral:rRNA from 1 species